rnacentral:rRNA from 1 species
AUGCCUCGCCGAACGCUAGUAUCGAGUCAACGUCGCUGGCCGGCAGUCACACUUCUGCUGCCUUGCAAUUGUUCGACGAUUUGCCUAGGUGAGUUUUUUAGCUUUUUAUUCUCGCUUUUCCUUUUGUCCGUUGAAUUCAACCGAUGGUUUAAAUUGAAGAUGAAGAGGCUGAGAGAGAUGAUCUUUGAGGACUCUUCAUCAUCGGAGGAGGAAGAAGAUUGCGAUGACUUCGAAAUGGUCGUUGGGAUGAUCUUCAACGAUGAUAUAUGGCAGCUGAGGAGAGGAUUGUUUGGCCGCAUGCAACUCAACCUUGAUAGCGGAGGGCCAUGCCAAGAUUAUGAGAGAUUAUUUCGACCCUAA